GCAAAGAACUAACAAUGGAUGGAGUAAAAUAUCAAUAUUAGAACGUUGAACACCAACCAAUUAUAACAGUGCCUAAGCUGCAUACACACUAUUUGACAAAGAUUUAUAAAAACUCAUAUUAGCAACAAAAAAAAAAAAACACGUGACUUAAUUAUCGUCUAAGCACCCCGUGAUUUUGCCUCAGAACUCUGUUGGUGCAUAUGAAAUACACAAUCUUUUGUCAUCUGAUAAAGCG
rnacentral:lncRNA from 1 species